rnacentral:rRNA from 1 species
UACGUAGGGACCAAGCGUUGUUCGGAUUUACUGGGCGUAAAGGGCGCGUAGGCGGCGUGACAAGUCACUUGUGAAAUCUCCGGGCUUAACCCGGAACUGCCAAGUGAUACUGUCGUGCUAGAGUGCGGAAGGGGCAAUCGGAGUUCUCGGUGUAGCGGUGAAAUGCGUAGAUAUCGAGAGGAACACCUGAGGUGAAGACGGGUUGCUGGGCCGACACUGACGCUGAGUGCGCGAAAGCCAGGGGAGCAAACGGG